AUUUUUUUUCCUUGAGAACCUAUGCUACUUGACAGGCACCAUUUAAGGUUGAGAGGCAUUCCUUUCUUCCAAUCUGGUUAGCUGCACCUGAUGCAUGAUCUGCAGCCUUCUAGGCCCUGUGAAGACCGAAGCUGUUUUACACUGGACUGAAUCCUGAGCUGGACAUUAAGACCAGGUAGAAAUCCAUCUUCCUGAAAAUCUCUGUACAAGAACGGGACCACAGAGCACAACUUACCAGCAGCCACGAAGCCAGUGCCCACAUUAGAACCCACACUGAAACCUACGCAUAGGCUAAUCUUUGUGAUCAGAAAAAACAGAGCCAGGGAGAGUAGGCGGCUAAGAAUGAUUUUCAGCACUACUGGAAGUGACUCCACUACUCCUGGGAUAUACAAAACAGCG